GAUGAACGCUAGCUACAGGCUUAACACAUGCAAGUCGCGGGGCAGCAUGGGGGUUGCUUGCAAUCCCCGAUGGCGACCGGCGCACGGGUGAGUAACACGUAUUCAACCUGCCCUUCACCACGGGAUAACCCGGCGAAAGUCGGACUAAUACCGUAUGUUGUCCAUUGACGGCAUCCGAUUUGGACGAAAGGCUUGGCGGUGAGGGAUGGGGAUGCGUCCGAUUAGCCAGACGGCGGGGUAACGGCCCACCGUGGCUACGAUCGGUAGGGGUUCUGAGAGGAAGGUCCCCCACACUGGAACUGAGACACGGUCCAGACUCCUACGGGAGGCAGCAGUGAGGAAUAUUGAUCAAUGGGCGUAAGCCUGAACCAGCCAAGUAGCGUGCAGGAUGACGGCCCUAUGGGUUGUAAACUGCUUUUAUGCGGGGAUAAAGUGGCCCACGUGUGGGCUUUUGCAGGUACCGCAUGAAUAAGGACCGGCUAAUUCCGUG
rnacentral:rRNA from 1 species